rnacentral:rRNA from 1 species
AGCGAACGCUGGCGGCAGGCCUAACACAUGCAAGUCGAACGAACCUUUCGGGGUUAGUGGCGGACGGGUGAGUAACACGUGGGAACGUGCCUUUAGGUUCGGAAUAACUCAGGGAAACUUGUGCUAAUACCGAAUGUGCCCUUCGGGGGAAAGAUUUAUCGCCUUUAGAGCGGCCCGCGUCUGAUUAGCUAGUUGGUUGAGGUAAUGGCUCACCAAGGCGACGAUCAGUAGCUGGUCUGAGAGGAUGAUCAGCCACAUUGGGACUGAGACACGGCCCGAACUCCUACGGGAGGCAGCAGUGGGGAAUCUUGCGCAAUGGGCGAAAGCCUGACGCAGCCAUGCCGCGUGAAUGAUGAAGGUCUUAGGAUUGUAAAAUUCUUUCACCGGGGACGAUAAUGACGGUACCCGGAGAAGAAGCCCCGGCUAACUUCGUG